rnacentral:rRNA from 1 species
GACGAACGCUGGCGGCGUGCUUAACACAUGCAAGUCGAACGGAAAGGCCCUGCUUUUGUGGGGUGCUCGAGUGGCGAACGGGUGAGUAACACGUGAGUAACCUGCCCUUGACUUUGGGAUAACUUCAGGAAACUGGGGUUAAUACCGGAUAGGAGCUCCUCCUGCAUGGGGGGGGUUGGAAAGUUUCGGCGGUUGGGGAUGGACUCGCGGCUUAUCAGUUUGUUGGUGGGGUAGUGGCUUACCAAGGCUUUGACGGGUAGCCGGCCUGAGAGGGUGACCGGCCACAUUGGGACUGAGAUACGGCCCAGACUCCUACGGGAGGCAGCAGUGGGGAAUAUUGCACAAUGGGCGGAAGCCUGAUGCAGCAACGCCGCGUGCGGGAUGACGGCCUUCGGGUUGUAAACCGCUUUCGCCUGUGACGAAGCGUGAGUGACGGUAAUGGGUAAAGAAGCACCGGCUAACUACGUG